ACUACAGAAUGAACUAAAAAGGUGUGGGGCCUUAAAGAACCAACAGGACCGUGAAGACUUUCGGAUGCUGAUUCCACAGGGCUGUCGUUUGGAACUCAAAGAAAAGCCAGAGGAUACACAAUCAAAAAGCUACCUUCCACUCGCACCCGUAACUCCCAGACCAGAGCCUGCUGAGCACCAGCUGCUCCUGUUUAAACUCUAGACACAGAAGCUGAGAUGAAGCACCAAGCCAGACUGUGGGGAUCGGCAUGCUGCCAACAUCCGCCUCGUCGUCAUAAACGCAUGAAGCCCCAAAAAGAAACUGAG